UUGCAUCUUUUGACAGCCCGAAGCUAUGCCGUUGGCUACUCGGGUCUUUUGGAAUGAUGAUGCAAUAUCAACAUCUCCGCGCUUUCUGUUCGCUGUCAUCGUGGCAACUCAGAUUGAAUAGGAGAUAACAUGA